CCUACGGGUGGCAGCAGUGAGGAAUAUUGGUCAAUGGGCGCGAGCCUGAACCAGCCAAGUCGCGUGAGGGAUGAAGGUUCUAUGGAUCGUAAACCUCUUUUAUACGGGAGUAAACUGUGUGACGUGUCCUAUUUUGUAUGUACCUUAUGAAUAAGGAUCGGCUAACUCCGUGCCAGCAGCCGCGGUAAUACGGAGGAUUCGAGCGUUAUCCGGAUUUAUUGGGUUUAAAGGGUGCGUAGGCGGCCCUAUAAGUUAGCGGUGAAAUUCUGUGGCUCAACCAUAGAAUUGCCGUUGAAACUGGGGGGCUUGAGAAUAUUUGAGGCAGGCGGAAUGGAUGGUGUAGCGGUGAAAUGCUUAGAGAUCACACAGAACACCGAUUGCGAAGGCAGCCUGCCAAGCCAUGACUGACGCUGAGGCACGAAAGCGUGGGGAGCAAACAGGAUUAGAUACCCUUGUAGUC
rnacentral:rRNA from 1 species